rnacentral:miRNA from 1 species
AGUGUUGAUACCAGGCAUUCACC